CCAGGGGCUGACGCCCCUGGCUAUUAUCUGCCGCCUCUUCGGGGCC
rnacentral:sRNA from 1 species